rnacentral:rRNA from 1 species
GAUGAACGCUGGCGGCGUGCCUAAUACAUGCAAGUCGAGCGAACGGACGAGAAGCUUGCUUCUCUGAUGUUAGCGGCGGACGGGUGAGUAACACGUGGAUAACCUCCCUAUAAGACUGGGAUAACUUCGGGAAACCGGAGAUAAUCCCGGAUAAUAUUUUGAACCGCAUGGUUCAAAAGUAAAAGACGGUCUUGCUGUCUCUUAUAGAUGGAUCCGCGCUGCAUUAGCUAGUUGGUAAGGUAAAGGCUUACCAAGGCAACGAUGCAUAGCCGACCUGUGAGGGUGAUCGGCCACACUGGAACUGAGACACGGUCCAGACUCCUACGGGAGGCAGCAGUAGGGAAUCUUCCGCAAUGGGCGAAAGCCUGGCGGAGCAACGCCGCGUGAGUUAUGAAGGUCUUCGGAUCGUAAAACUCUGUUAUUAGGUAAGAACAUAUGUGUAAGUAACUGUGCACAUCUUGACGGUACCGAAUCAGAAAGCCACGGCUAACUACGUG